rnacentral:rRNA from 1 species
AAUCUUAGACAAUGGGGGAAACCCUGAUCUAGCCAUGCCGCGUGGACGAUGAAGGCCUUAGGGUUGUAAAGUCCUUUCAGCUGGGAAGAUAAUGACGGUACCAGCAGAAGAAGCCCCGGCUAACUCCGUGCCAGCAGCCGCGGUAAUACGGAGGGGGCUAGCGUUGUUCGGAAUUACUGGGCGUAAAGCGCACGUAGGCGGACUGGAAAGUUGGGGGUGAAAUCCCAGGGCUCAACCCUGGAACUGCCUUCAAAACUAUCAGUCUGGAGUUCGAGAGAGGUGAGUGGAAUUCCGAGUGUAGAGGUGAAAUUCGUAGAUAUUCGGAGGAACACCAGUGGCGAAGGCGGCUCACUGGCUCGAUACUGACGCUGAGGUGCGAAAGCGUGGGUAGCAAACAGG